rnacentral:rRNA from 1 species
GAUGAACGCUGGCGGCGUGCUUAAUACAUGCAAGUCGAACGGAGACAUUAGCAAUAAUGUUUUAGUGGCGAAACGGGUGAGUAACGCGUUGGUGACCUGCCCCGAAGAGAGGGAUAACAGUCCGAAAGGAUUGCUAAUACCCCAUGUGGUUAUUUGGAUUAGAUGCCUUAUAACUAAACGGAUUUAUUCGCUUCGGGAGGGGCCUGCGUCCCAUCAGCUAGUUGGUAGGGUAAUGGCCUACCAAGGCGAUGACGGGUAGGGGACCUGAGAGGGUGACCCCCACACUGGCACUGAAACACGGUCCAUACACCUACGGGUGGCAG